rnacentral:rRNA from 1 species
CAUUAUUGAAUACUCGAUGGGUUGUAGCUGGCUUCDVGGAGCAUGUGCACGCCUGUCUUGACUCUAUUCAUCCACCUGUGCACCUAUUGUAGUCUCAUUUGCUAUGUCUUUAUUCACAAACCAUGUAGUAUGUUGCAGAAUGUAUUCAAUGGGCCAUCRUGCCUAUAAAACCUUAUACAACUUUCAGCAACGGAUCUCUUGGCUCUCGCAUCGAUGAAGAACGCAGCGAAAUGCGAUAAGUAAUGUGAAUUGCAGAAUUCAGUGAAUCAUCGAAUCUUUGAACGCACCUUGCGCUCCUUGGUAUUCCGAGGAGCAUGCCUGUUUGAGAGUCAGUAAAUUCUCAACCCCACCAGCUUUUGUGAGUUGGCACUUGGGGAUUGGAUGUGGAGGUUCUGCCGGCCGGUCGGCUCCUCUGAAAUGUAUUAGCGGAACCGUUUGCGAUCCGUCACAGGUGUGAUAAUUAUCUACGCCAGUGGGUUGCUCUCUGUCUGUUCAGCUUCCAACCGUCCUCCGGGACAAACAUAACUGAACCUUUGACCUCAAAYCAGG